CACGCGGAUCCCCGGGGGAGGCGGCUGGGGGCCCGCGUCGUCCCGGCCGAAGCUGCCGAUAGCGCGUCCGCGCAGGGUCACAGGCCGAGCGCCUGUAACUGCCACGGUGCCGCGGGCAUUGCGCUAGAAGGUGCUGGUUAUUUUCUAGACUCUCGUGUCCUCAAUAGGAGAAAGCGGUCUUCAAUCCCUAACCGAAUCUUUUAAACCACAAUUUACACGUGAGGCCUGCCCAGAACCCAGGAAACUGCAAGAUGAAGCGAAUGUUGCUGAGAAUAAAGCUGGUUAGACAACUUGACAGGGAAAAGGACCUUGGCCUUGAAUUCACAAACAAAAGGUUACAAACUCCCUGAGAUCAGGUGUUUGCCUCGCUGGUCCAUCCUCAGGAUGCAGAACAAUCCCCGGGAUAUACUCAUUUAUUGAACACCUACUGAUACAAUGAAUGAAAGAGUCCCAACAACUGCGAAGAUUAGGUUUAAAACACACGAAUCAAUGCUAGGCUGCCUAAGAAGUUUCUCAGAUCUGAGGAAUGUGGAGGCUCACGUUGCUACCACAUUGUCAUCACCCUUCCAGAUAGUUCUUCGCAAGUCUUCUAUUUGUUGGAGGUUGGACUACUCCCUUAAACUGCACUGAACUCUGACUAUAAUGGAAUGUUCUCGUGUUCAUUUUGGCCCAUGUUUGCAGUCUGUUGAGGUCUUUGGGAGUCUUGACUUUCAAGCAGAGUUGUGGCUGCAUGUCCUAGCUGGAGCUUCACAUAAAUUUGAUAAGC